AUGAACGCUAGCGGCAGGCCUAACACAUGCCAGUCGAGGGAGGAGCUUUCGGGCUUCGACCGGCGUACGGGUGCGUAACGCGUAUACAAUCUGCCUUUCACAUAGGGAUAGCCCGAAGAAAUUUGGAUUAAUACCUAAUGGUAUAUAGGAGUGGCAUCACAUUUAUAUUAAAGCUGAGGCGGUGAAAGAUGAGUAUGCGUUCUAUUAGCUAGUUGGAGAGGUAACGGCUCCCCAAGGCGACGAUAGAUAGGGGUUCUGAGAGGGAUAUCCCCCACACUGGUACUGAGAUACGGACCAGACUCCUACGGGAGGCAGCAGUGAGGAAUAUUGGACAAUGGUCGGAAGACUGAUCCAGCCAUGCCGCGUGCAGGAAGACGGCCUUAUGGGUUGUAAACUGCUUUUGCAGGGGAAGAAUAAGGACUACGAGUAGUUUGAUGACGGUACCCUGCGAAUAAGCAUCGGCUAACUCCGU
rnacentral:rRNA from 1 species